rnacentral:rRNA from 1 species
AUGCUGCUCCCACACCCGGACGCUUGCUUCGCUCCCGCCGGCUUCAGCCGCCCGGUCCGCUCCGGCUCCGCCCGCGGCCGGGUUCGUCGUCUCGCCGGCUUCGCCUUCGCCCCCGGCUGUCUCCGCCUCGUCCUCGGCUCCAGCAGCACAGCGCCGGGUCCGGCCACGUCCGUCGGCCGGCUUCCGCGCAUCCCGGCCAGCUUCUGUGCCCCUGCUCCAGCUCCCACUCGUGCGCAACGGCAGGCCGGCUUCCACCCGCGCCGCCCCGCCACUCGGCUCCGUCUCCCCAUGUUGGCUCCACCCCCGCACCCGUCCUCGCGUGCCUCCCCGUACGACCACGACCGUGUGCCGGCCCCGCACCUCCUCCGCGCCCUACUCCGCCUCGACCCCGAGCCUUGCCGCUUCCGGCUCCCCCGCCAUUUGUGCUCCCUGUCCGUGCUGGCUCCGGGUCGCCACCCCGAGCCCGGCCGCGUCCGAUCUCGCGCCCAUCCGACCCGGCUGGCUACACUAGCUGGCCUCCUGUCGCGUCGCCCGCUCCUAUACGCGCACCCGCACUGGCUGCUCCUCCUCGCACGCCAAGACGGAUCCGCCCGCAUCCCGUCCUGCCGGCUUCGCCCGCACCGGCUGGCUCCCCCGCAACCCGGCCUGCCGGCUUCUGCCGCGACUCGGCUGUCGGUUUCCGCUGCGUCCCGCUCCUGCCUGCUGCUCAUGCAGAGAAGAUGGAAAAAGAGCCGCUUGCCCAAUGGCCGUCUAGAAGAGAAAGACAAGGCCGGUUCCCAUCGGAAAAAUAAAAAAGAAGACAAGGUAGUUGCCGGAAGAUCCGGCCCGACUGCUCAGCAGUCGGUCCAAAUUUUGGGGGCUACACCCAGCGGGUGCGCUGACGCGCCCCUGCGAAGAAGAAGACACAGUACUUGCCGGGAGAUCCGGCCCGACUGCUCAGCAGUUGGCCCAGAUCUCGGGGGCUACACCCAGCGGGUGCGCUGA